UUGACGGGGAGCACCACAACGGGUGGAGCUUGCGGUUUAAUUGGAUUCAACGCCGGAAAUCUUACCGGGACCGACAGCAAUAUGAAGGCCAGGCUGAAGACUUUGCCGGAUUAGCUGAGAGGUGGUGCAUGGCCGUCGUCAGUUCGUACUGUGAAGCAUCCUGUUAAGUCAGGCAACGAGCGAGACCCACGCCCACAGUUGCCAGCGUACUCUCCGGAGUGACGGGUACACUGUGGGACCGCCGCUGCUAAAGCGGAGGAAGGAAUGGGCAACGGUAGGUCAGUAUGCCCCGAAUAUCCCGGGCUACACGCGAGCUACAAUGGUUGGUACAAUGGGUAUCUACCCCGAAAGGGGACGGAAAUCUCCUAAAACCAAUCUUAGUUCGGAUUGAGGGCUGCAACUCGCCCUCAUGAAGCUGGAAUCCGUAGUAAUCGCGUUUCAACAGAACGCGGUGAAUACGUCCCUGCUCCUU
rnacentral:rRNA from 1 species